UAAUACGGAGGGUGCAAGCGUUAUCCGGAUUCACUGGGUUUAAAGGGUGCGUAGGCGGGCAGGUAAGUCAGUGGUGAAAUCUCCGAGCUUAACUCGGAAACUGCCAUUGAUACUAUUUGUCUUGAAUAUUGUGGAGGUAAGCGGAAUAUGUCAUGUAGCGGUGAAAUGCUUAGAUAUGACAUAGAACACCAAUUGCGAAGGCAGCUUACUACACAAUUAUUGACGCUGAGGCACGAAAGCGUGGGGAUCAAACAGGAUUAGAUACCCUGGUAGUCCACGCCCUAAACGAUGAUUACUCGACAUACGCGAUACACUGUGUGUGUCUGAGCGAAAGCAUUAAGUAAUCCACCUGGGAAGUACGAUCGCAAGAUUG
rnacentral:rRNA from 1 species